rnacentral:rRNA from 1 species
GAUGAACGCUGACAGCAUGCUUAACACAUGCAAGUCAACUUGAAUUUGGGUUUUUAACUUAGGUUUGGGUGGCGGACGGGUGAGUAACGCGUAAAGAACUUGCCUCACAGCUAGGGACAACAUUUGGAAACGAAUGCUAAUACCUAAUAUUAUGAUAAUAGGUCAUCCUAUAAUUAUGAAAGCUAUAAGCGCUGUGAGAGAGCUUUGCGUCCCAUUAGCUAGUUGGAGAGGUAACGGCUCACCAAGGCGAUGAUGGGUAGCCGGCCUGAGAGGGUGAUCGGCCACAAGGGGACUGAGACACGGCCCUUACUCCUACGGGAGGCAGCAGUGGGGAAUAUUGGACAAUGGACCGAGAGUCUGAUACAGCAAUUCUGUGUGCACGAUGAAGUUUUUCGGAAUGUAAAGUGCUUUCAGUUGGGAAGAAACAAAUGACGGUACCAACAGAAGAAGUGACGGCUAAAUACGUG